GAGUUUCUCUCUCUCUCUCUCUCUCUCUCUCUCUCUCUCUCUCUCUCUCUCUCAAACACACACACACACACACACACACACACACACAGAGAGAGAGAGAGAGAGAGAGAGAGAGAGAGAGAGCUACAUUCCUU
rnacentral:miRNA from 1 species